rnacentral:rRNA from 1 species
UACGGAGGGAGCUAGCGUUAUUCGGAAUUACUGGGCGUAAAGCGCACGUAGGCGGCUUUGUAAGUAAGAGGUGAAAGCCCAGAGCUCAACUCUGGAAUUGCCUUUAGACUGCAUCGCUUGAAUCAUGGAGAGGUCAGUGGAAUUCCGAGUGUAGAGGUGAAAUUCGUAGAUAUUCGGAAGAACACCAGUGGCGAAGGCGGCUGACUGGACAUGUAUUGACGCUGAGGUGCGAAAGCGUGGGAGCGAACAGG